GGUUGCGAUCAUACCAGCACUAAUGCACCGGAUCCCAUCAGAAUCCGCAGUUAAGCGUGCUUGGGCGAGAGUAGUACUAGGAUGGGUGACCCCCUGGGAAGUCCUCGUGUUGCAACCC
rnacentral:rRNA from 1 species